ensembl:lincRNA
GCCGUGGACCCAGUACCCUCUGACUGUGGCACAUUGUCUGUCACCUGCAUUAAGAAACACUCCGCAACACCCAGAUUUCGACUACAUUUUCUGGAUGUUGGCAUCUGAACUUUCUUGACAAUGGGACUAUGAUUCAGCGGAUGCCAUUCUUCAUUUACACGUCGAUAAAGUACUCAGAUGAGACACCUUGUCAGCUGCAUGGGACAACUUCAGAGUUCUCUGUAAAUAUCUUUGUGUUGAGAGAACUUCCAAACUCUGAACAUCUUGGACUGCAAACCUGCUUCUAGAAGAAAACCAAUAUCUCCAGACAGAAGUGCAAGUGCAUGCAGAAUGCUUUCAUCCCACUUACAAGAGGUCACAGACAAAAGGGACAGGAACCACCACUGUAGGCUUCCCUCUGGAAGGAUGUGGCCCAUGUGCUUACUUUUCUCACUUCUCUGGAUUCUGCCUCCUGCAGAGAACUCAGUAUGCAGAGAAGCUAAAAGGAAUUAGAAAUUAUCACCCUAAAAUUAACAUGGAAGAAGAAAUAGGACAGGU